CAAGACCUGCGCUUUUGGAGCGGCCGAUGCCUGAUUAGCUUGUUGGUAAGGUAAAAGCUUACCAAGGCUUCGAUCAGUAGCUGGUCUGAGAGGACGACCAGCCACACUGGGACUGAGACACGGCCCAGACUCCUACGGGAGGCAGCAGUGGGGAAUUUUGGACAAUGGGGGCAACCCUGAUCCAGCCAUGCCGCGUGAGUGAAGAAGGCCUUCGGGUUGUAAAGCUCUUUCAGCCGGAACGAAACGGUUACGGUUAAUACCCGUAACUAAUGACGGUACCGGAAGAAGAAGCACCGGCUAACUACGUGCCAGCAGCCGCGGUAAUACGUAGGGUGCGAGCGUUAAUCGGAAUUACUGGGCGUAAAGCGUGCGCAGGUGGUUUUGUAAGUCAGAUGUGAAAGCCCCGGGCUCAACCUGGGAACU
rnacentral:rRNA from 1 species